rnacentral:rRNA from 1 species
AUGGAGCUAAUCUGCUUGACGAUACCAUUCUGGCUGCAGCGGCUUAGUUGUUUGACUGUGUCAGAGUGCGAUAUGCUGCGAGUGAUAGAGAGCACAGCUCCAAACCUCACCACUUUAGACUUCUUUGGUGAACCAGUACAACUUGUGCUUAGAGAAUCAUCAAAGACUCUUACUAUAUACUCGUCUUCUGAGACGGUUAAUACCCCAAUGGUAGCUGACAAAUUCCUUGACAUAAAGCACUUGAAUAUUCACCUUGGUGAGGAUUAUGAUGACGCUGUUACCCCGACCUAUGAUUAUUUAUCCUUGGCUUUGUUUCUGGAUGCUUGUCCUGUCCUGGAGAGUUUCACCUUAAUUGUAGAUCAGAGUGAUAUGCAGCAUGAUUCGGUUUUUGGGAAUCCCUCCUUGUUUUUGAGGCAGAUUCUUCAACACAAGCAUGAGAGGCUCAAGAAGGUGCAGAUCAUUGGCUUCUGCUCUGCAAAGAGCAUGGUUGAGCUAACAUGUGAUAUUCUCAAGAAUGCAACAUCACUUGAGAGCCUCACUCUGGACUGUGUAUUUGGUGCGGGUACGGGGGCCAUUAGUGAUUCUGUUAGGUGUGGUCCCUCAAAAUCCGAUAAAUGCUGGAUCAGAAGCCGAACUAUGAUCUUGGAAGCACAUAAAGCACUCGGUGCCAUCAAAACGUACAUCCUGGAGAGAGUUCCCCCUGCAGUCAAGUUAAAUGUUGGGGGGCCUUGUAGCCGGUGCCAAGCUAUGGAUGUGAUGCUUUAG